GGACAGUCACUUCCGGAUUCUCGGACGGAUUCAGCUCAAGACGUUCUAUCUACGAUAGGUUCAAGUAAACAGUAACAGGCAAGAGCUGGGCUAAUCGAGAAAUCCCAAUGAUACAAGUGUGAUGUCCCUUUCCGGAGAGUGUUGACUAAAGUGUUAAUAAAGACAGUGACAUAUGCUACUGCUUUUUUCGUCGCUUGUCAGUUUCGCGUAUUGUACGAUAUGUACAAAUACUGUUGUGCAUUUCACAUCCUGUUUAAUAAAUGCCCAGAUUUACUUAGUGUUUGAGAGAUUUAUAAGACCUAUGCUGUUUUAAACAGCGAGUUAUAUCUCUCUUAAGGGUUGGAGAAGUUGGCCGUGCUCCGUGGAAACUUGAGAAGGACGGAAGUCGAAGAACGUCGAUUGGAUCUUUGAAAUCACGAUGACGACUGUCGUCAUCCAUUAGAACUUUGACUUAAGAUGGUCGCGUUAUCUGUGAUAAGAUGUUUGGUUAAUAUGUUAAAUUUACGUGCCAAAGCCCCCAGAAGAAUGAUUACAUAUCUAGCUGGCCUAGAAGUCUUGUUGGAGUCAUUGUUGUUGUAGUUUGUAGUCUGUGUUAUUCUAACUAAUAAAACUAUUUAUUAUCUU
rnacentral:misc_RNA from 1 species